UGUCCAAUGCGGGAAUCGAACCCGGGUCCUAGUGGUCGAAAACCAAACGGUUUAACCAGCCGACCCCC
rnacentral:tRNA from 1 species